CUCAGGAUCACAAUGUUACUCCUCUUCUUACUUUUCUUCACUAUUGCUGAUAUUGUAGAAUCUGCUGAUAACAGCAUUAAACCAGAAGAAACCACUUUAUCUGUAACUGAAGGCAGCAACAUCACACUGUCCUGCACAUAUACUGGAUCAGUUUACAACCUUCACUGGUAUCAACUAAAACCUGGAUCAAGACCAGAGUUUCUGCUGCUGAUCACUGAAAGCGCUAAACAAGUCACAGAAGCUCAACCACCAAAUCCACGAUUAAUGUCUGCUAAAGUUGAUGAUGGUGAUAAAAAACAAGUGGAUCUGAUCAUCUCCUCUGCUGCUGUAUCAGACUCUGCUCUAUACUACUGUGAAGUGACUCGCCCAGGUGCUGUUCACUCUGGGACUGGGGCACCACGGACCCUGGGUGCAGCAUCGGAAGAUGUGCGCCAAGCCCCAGUCGAGGGCAUCUCCCAGUCCACUGCCAAUAUCUUCUAA